CCUACGGGAGGCAGCAGUGGGGAAUUUUGGGCAAUGGGCGCAAGCCUGACCCAGCAACGCCGCGUGAAGGAAGAAAGCUUUCGGGUUGUAAACUUCUUUUCUGAGGGACGAAGAAAGUGACGGUACCUCAGGAAUAAGCCACGGCUAACUACGUGCCAGCAGCCGCGGUAAUACGUAGGUGGCAAGCGUUAUUCGGAUGUAUUGGGGGGAAAGGGGGUGGAGGCGGGAAAGCAAGUCAGAUGUGAAAACUGAGGGCUCAACCCUGAGCCUGCAUAUGAAACUGUUUUUCUUGAGUGCUGGAGAGGCAAUCGGAAUUCCGGGUGUAGCGGUGAAAUGCGUAGAUAUACGGAGGAACACCAGUGGCGAAGGCGGAUUGCUGGACAGUAACUGACGCUGAGGCGCGAAAGCGAGGGGAGCAAACAGGAUUAGAUACCCGAGUAGUC
rnacentral:rRNA from 1 species